rnacentral:lncRNA from 1 species
GUGUUUUACAUAUCUGUUCCGUUUUAAAAAUAGGUAAAUGAUUAGAGCUUUGGCGCUGGGCAGACUUGGGACGAAACCCGAGCUGCGCUGUUCAUUUGCUGCUGCUGCUCACAGGGCCCGGGCAGGCUCCUUCCCCUUCUCUUCCUCCUCCACACACGGAGGACACAAACGGAACCGUCCUAGUGGGGUUUCCGAGACUGGGAGGGGGAAACAUCUGGCGGGGAAACAGCUGGAAUGACCGGAAGUAUCAGGACCAACUUGGCAACUGUUGAGUACGUGGAUGGAGAAAGAAUAUGUGAGGGCCCGGGAUGUGGCGCAGUGGCACCAUGCCUGCCUAGCAAGCGCCAGGUCUGGACUUUGAUCCCCGGAAGAGUGCGUGAAAGAACGACAUCAAUUUUUGUCUGACACCAGGGAGGACGCAUUCUUUUUCUCCUGAAAUUGAGACCUUUUUUCCAGUGCUGAGCCCACACGCUAGGCAAGCCCAGCCACUGAAGAUUGUGACUUGGGUGCCCACGCUCUUAUCACAGCAGAGGCGUGGAUGGGAAGGGAGAGGAACAGCGGUCGGACAGACCAUUUGUGACCUGAUGCCUCCCGGUGGACAAAGGAGCGAGCCAUCAGCGUCUGCACUAUUUCCAGUUCCGGUGGAAGCGAAACGACUUACAUGUGCAUAAAAUGGAGAGGAGAUUCCGCGUUAUGCUAAGUCGAAGCCUGAUAACAGUUUUAGCUGCACGCAGAAUUCUGCAUGGUUUCAGAAUUUACUGAAAGGGUUCACGUGUGCUGCUGGACGCUAUCAGAACCUCACAGAACAGCAGCUCCCCUCGAUGCUGGAGUCACCUUAAAUCUCAGACUGCGCGAAAAUGAGAACGCUAUUUGCCAAAACAAAAACAAAGAGAAUAAUUGUGCAUUAAGGUCAAACCUAGUAAUAGCGUCCUUCGCGUUUAUCUG